rnacentral:rRNA from 1 species
GACGAACGCUGGCGGCGUGCUUAAUACAUGCAAGUCAACUGAACUUGAGGUAGCAAUAUCACAAGAGAGGUGGCGCACGGGUGAGUAACACGUAGGUAAUCUGCCUUUAGGUCUGACAUAAUUCCGCGAAAGCGGGACUAGUAUCAGAUGAUGCAGCGGCUCGACAUCGAGACAGUUGUUAAACCUUCGGGGCCUAAAGAUGAGCCUGCGUCUGAUUAGGUAGUUGGCGGAGUAAAAGCCCACCAAGCCUGCGAUCAGUAGCUGGUCUGAGAGGAUGAUCAGCCACACUGGAACUGAGACACGGUCCAGACUCCUACGGGAGCAGCAGUAAGGAAUAUUGCUCAAUGGCCGAAAGGCUGAAGCAGCAACGCCGCGUGGA